GCAAGUCGAACGGGGUAUUAAAGCUUGCUUUAAUACUUAGUGACGGACGGGUGAGUAACACGUGAGCAACCUGGCUCUAAGAGUGGAAUAGCUUCUGGAAACGGAUGGUAAUACCGCAUAACAUAUAUUUACGGCAUCGUAGAUAUAUCAAAGAUUUAUUGCUUAGAGAUGGGCUCGCGCCUGAUUAGCUAGUUGGUAGGGUAAUGGCCUACCAAGGCGACGAUCUUUAGCUGGUCUGAGAGGAUGAUCAGCCACACUGGGACUGAGACACGGCCCAGACUCCUACGGGAGGCAGCAGUGGGGAAUAUUGGACAAUGGGGGCAACCCUGAUCCAGCCAUGCCGCGUGAGUGAUGAAGGCCUUAGGGUUGUAAAGCUCUUUCACCGGAGAAGAUAAUGACAAUAUCCGGAGAAGAAACCCCGGCUAACUUCGUGCCAGCAGCCGCGGUAAUACGAAGGGGGCUAGCGUUGUUCGGAAUUACUGGGCGUAACGCGCACGUAGGCGGAUUGGUCAGUUAGGGGUGAAAUCCCGGAGCUCAGCUCCGGAACUGCCUUUAAUA
rnacentral:rRNA from 1 species